GAUGUCUCUUAUUGUUUGGAUGUGUCUGUUGGAAACAAUGCAAUUUUUGGUUUGAAUAAACAUGAUUCAUAAACAAAUCCUUUCAUUGUUUAUUCACCUACAUUUCAAUUGAUUGUCAACCGUCACAUCAACGUUUAUAACCCAAACUCACAAAGACGUCAUUUCUUUUGGUAAUUGGUAUUUCUGCCCCUUUUCUCUAUCUUGGCCGCCAGAACCCAGCGUUCUUCUUCUCUCUCUAUCUCUUCAUCUUGAGGUGAAAAAAAAAAUCCCUAGUUUCCUCUCAAUGACUGCUUCGACGAACGAAUCGACGCUUCUCAAUAUGUCUUGCCUCUCCACAUAUCAAUCUCCAAAAUCAUAGACUGUCGACCGAAGAGAAUUCAAUAUCGAAUCUUUCACUCAACCUAGCUAGCUUCACUCACCAUUUUUUCAACAGCCAGAGCUGGUGGGCUGAAUGGAACUGGAAGUGCCGUGAUGACAAUUUUUUUUUAAAGCUAGGUAAUAUUUAAUGGGAGAAGCUUUUCAAGUUGUUAGGAUCUGUUAGAAGUAUUCACAUCUAGAAUGUAGAUGCCAAAAAUAUUUACAGAAGAUUAUUGCAUAUGAAAUUAAUUAAUUGCAUAUAAUUAUAUAAGGAGUCAUAUUAUCACUUCGUAAAUUUGUUGUAAACAAGUUAUUAAGCUUGACAUGGUAUAGAUAUUUGGAUUUCAAGUCCCCUUAUUUUUUCAAGCUGCCAACCACAUCUUUCUCCUUGAAGUUUGUAAAUUAUGUUUAUUGUCCUUAUCAUACUAAUCAAUUAGUGUUUGUAAAAGAAAUAUCCCAUUCCAUGGAAAUUUGAUUUCUUAAGAUAAGAUUAAUUGUUUUGUUCUUUACUAGGUAUCUCAAUUGUUUGGACUGAAGAUUGGUUUGGGUUUGUGCUUAGCAGGAUUCAUAAAACACCUUGUUCUUUUUAACAAUCAUUCUUUUUAAGACUACAUUAGAUAUACUCAUACAUUGAAAUGCAUUCUAAUGGUUAUUUGAGAUGUUGAGAGUCAAAGUUUACAUUAUUUACUAAGUACUAUGUAAGUUUAAUCUAAAUCUUUGAGUGUCUAACUGAAGUUUUUAUAUUUCUAGCAUGUGCAGUCCUGUGUAGCCAAAUUUGUCACUAGGAUUGGCCAAACAUGUGCAUUUGUUGAUAUAAUAUUAGUUUUGAAUUUGACUAAUUAUUCUAUAUCCCAUAAAUGUAGAAACUCUUUCUAAAUACAGGAGAAACUGCUGAUGCCAAUAUUAAAGCUCUAUGUUCAUGACAAAUGAAAAAAGUUUCAUUUAGCGUUAAUGAUAUCCCACGUAAAGUUUUUUGAAAGCCUUUUUUAUCCAUCACAUAGUCAUGCAACAUUUUCAUUUAUGUGUUUCUUCAUCGUUGCAUUAAAAAAUAAAUAAAUAGAGGAAAAAAGAAAGUUUCAAAAAUUGUGUACUUGUUUAACCAAUGGUCUCAAUUGUCAAGUUCUACUUAGCUUUUUCUAGGUCCAUGGCUUAAUUUUAUUUGUGUUUCUCUGUUUUCGUACUGAUCAUGCUUAAUCCACAAGGUAGUCCAUGGCAAUGCAUUCUAUGCUUAAAAAGUUGAAUAUUUUUUUCCCUUGCAAAUUGUGUGUUGUGCCAACCCUAUGAACUUGUGUGUCUGGCUGGUUGUAGUGCAAUGCAUUCACAAAUUGUAUCCUAUUACUUGGAUUUUCUUUCUUCUAUUUUCUCUGUUUUUGUUUCCUCUUUGUCUCUUGUGGUUUGAUUGUUGUUGCAGGUAGAGGAAAGAUCAUCAUUGUUUGUUUUGCAGAUUUUUGGAUGGGGUCAUGCAACAAGACUUCAAGCUCUUUUUGUUUAAGAUGGUUUAAGUAGUGUAUGUCUAGGUCUUUGAACCCUUUGUUGAAUCUAUAGCUCAUUUUUGUCUAAGAUCUUGAAACAUUUUAUUUAAAAUACUAGCUUGUUUUGGUCCAAAUUAUUGGAGUUGAAAUUGUUUUAGAUGCUAAGACUCAUUUUUUUA